UUCUUUUUCUGUAUAGGGGCAGCUGAUACUGGCACAGGUUGGUUCUCUGGUUCAGCUGUAGUGCCUGUCAAGGGGGCUGGAGUGGCUGCAGCACCUGCUGCUGUGG